GCCGCCAUAGCUCAGUGGUAGAGCACUUCAUUGGUAAUGAAGAGGUCUCGGGUUCAAGUCCCGAUGGUGGCUCCA
rnacentral:tRNA from 1 species